UCAAGGACAACCCUCCUCUCAGGGUGAUCCCAAUUCCGUCUCUCUUUCCCCUUCCACCUUGUACUAGAACUCAGCAUUCCUUCCUCUCAAAUGUUUGGGGACUGUGGAACCUUCUCAGGGGUACAAACUGUGUUCUGGCUGGCUCUUGUGGGCAUCUAAGUACUUCUCUACUCUGGAGAGUAGAGGCUCUGGAAUCAGACCACACAGAAGAAAGUCAAGGAGAGGAUGCUAUCUGGAAGAGUUGGCCAAACUGGGUCUCGAAGGGCCUCUUUUGUGUCUGUGGACUGUUGCUCUGUCUUGCAUAAAACCUCUUGCCAUAGAAGUCUUCAAUUAAAGUCACCUGCUGGUCUUUGUCAGUUGAACUUGAUGCUGUCAAAUCACGCAGAGCUCCUUAAGCCAAUACAAGUCAUUACAGAGAGAGUGAAUAAGAGCCAUGGCGGGCAGGAGCCCUCUGUGAUCAAUUGAUAUCUUCCUUUGCUUGGGAGGGGGUGGGGGUCUCAGAGCCCUGCUCCCCGCCGCCUCAUCCCCUCCACGGGGGCCUGAACCCCUGGAUCCAAUUAGACCACAGCUCCGCGGGUCUGAGGGUGCGCUGAAAGGCCAUCGGUAGGCGAGCCCAUUAAUAACUCGCCAGUGCCCUGCGUAUUGUAAUUGUCAGUCUGCAAUUUACAGUAAUCCUCCCAUGCAAAAACCCCAGUCGCUGCAGCUGAUUGGAAAUUCAUACGCCCGUUUGAAAGAGAAAAACACAAGCUGCAUGGGUUAAAAGGCCACAGCGUGCAAGUGUGUGUGUUGAGUGACAGACAUUUUAGUACUAGCCUGGGACCAUAUUUUAAAAGGUCACUGAAAACUCUUGGCUUGGGCUCUCUGACAAACAAUGAACGUCCUGGGUAUUUAUUUGCCAUCUCUUUGUUUUUACAGCAUGCAGAAUAAAUGACUUAAAUGAC